GUGCCUAACACAUGCAAGUCGAACGGUAACAGUCCUUCGGGAGCUGACGAGUGGCGCACGGGUGAGUAACGCGUGGAUAUCUGCCUAUUAGUGGGGGACAACUACGGGAAACCGUAGCUAAUACCGCAUAAUCUCUACGGAGGAAAGCAGGGGACCUUUCGGGGCCUUGCGCUGAUAGAUGAGUCCGCGUCUGAUUAGCUAGUUGGUGGGGUAAUGGCCUACCAAGGCGAUGAUCAGUAACUGGUUUGAGAGGAUGAUCAGUCACACUGGAACUGAGACACGGUCCAGACUCCUACGGGAGGCAGCAGUGGGGAAUAUUGCACAAUGGGCGAAAGCCUGAUGCAGCGACGCCGCGUGCGGGAAGAAGGCCUUCGGGUUGUAAACCGCUUUCAAUUGGGAAGAAGAGAUGAGGGCUAAUAUCCCUCUGAUUUGACGGUACCUUUAGAAGAAGCACCGGCUAAUUUCGUGCCAGCAGCCGCGGUAAUACGAAAGGUGCAAGCGUUGUUCGGAUUUACUGGGCGUAAAGAGAUCGUAGGUGGUUUAUUAAGUCGGAUGUGAAAUCCCGGGGCUCAACCCCGGAACUGCAUUCGAUACUGAUAGGCUAGAGUUUGGGAGGGGUAAGCGGAAUUCCGUGUGUAGCAGUGAAAUGCGUAGAUAUACGGAGGAACACCUGAGGCGAAGGCGGCUUACUGGACCAAUACUGACACUGAGGAUCGAAAGCGUGGGUAGCAAACAGGAUUAGAUACCCUGGUAGUCCACGCCCUAAACGAUGUCAACUAGCCGUAGCGGGUAUCGACCCCUGCUGUGGCGAAGCUAACGCGAUAAGUUGACCGCCU
rnacentral:rRNA from 1 species